GGAAGCAAGUUGUCAUGGCAACCAUUGAUGUCAUAAUGGCCAAAUAAACAAAUGAUGUCAUAAUGGCCAAAAAACUAUUAUGUCAUAAUGGCCACAUUAUGACAUCAUAAGAAGCAAAUAUAACUUGUACAACACUUGACACUUGACUUCAUUGCGAAUUAGCUACUGACUGGACGUACAUCUAACAUUCAGUCGGUGCUAAUACGUGAAUUUCUUAUCAAUUUAUCAACUAAUCUAAUCAACGAAAAUGUUUCGAAGAAUUCGUAAAGCUUUUACCAAAUUAUUCAGACGCGGCAGAAAGGAGAAAUAUAACAUCGGUAUUGAUCAGCCUGUGCAGCUUCAUGGAAAACCAGAUGCACCAGUGCAGAAACCUGAGAAACUUCCAGGUGUUUAUUCGAAUUUAUUCGAAUUUGAAAAACCUGAAAAUGAAAAAGAACGGGAAAAAUUUGAAAUGAAAA